rnacentral:rRNA from 1 species
UGAGGAAUAUUGGGCAAUGCCCGCAAGGGUGACCCAGCAACGCCGCGUGGAGGAUGAAUGUCGUAAGAUUGUAAACUCCUGUUAGAGGGGAAGAAUAGUACCGGUUGGACCGGUAUAUGACUGUACCCUCAGAGAAAGCCCCGGCUAACUACGUGCCAGCAGCCGCGGUAAUACGUAGGGGGCAAGCGUUGUCCGGAUUUACUGGGUGUAAAGGGCGCGCAGGCGGGAUAAAAAGUCAGUGGUGAAAUCCUACAGCUUAACUGUAGAACUGCCUUUGAUACUUUUAUUCUUGAGUUCGGGAGAGAGAGACGGAAUUCCAGGUGUAGUGGUGAAAUACGUAGAUAUCUGGAAGAACACCAGUUGCGAAGGCGGUCUCUUGGUCCGACAUUGACGCUGAGGCGCGAAAGCGUGGGGAGCAAACA